UAAAGUGGUACGUGAGCUGGGUUCAGAACGAUGUAAAUCAGUUUGGUCUAUAUCUUUAACAAUUAUAAAAAAUAAAAAUGUUUGUUCAGUCCUAAAGGACCAACAG
rnacentral:rRNA from 1 species